rnacentral:rRNA from 1 species
GUGCAAGGUCGGAACGGGAUUCAAAGUAGCAAUAUUUUGAUGAGAGUGGCGCACGGGUGAGUAACACGUAUGCAAUUUACCUUUAACUGGGGGAUAGCCCUCCGAAAGGAGGAUUAAUACCGCAUAAUAUAUUGAAAUGGCAUCAUUUUAAUAUUAAACCUACGGGGGUUAAAGAUGAGCAUGCAUCCGAUUAGCUAGUUGGUGUGGUAACGGCUCACCAAGGCAACGAUCGGUAGGGGGUCUGAGAGGAUGAUCCCCCACACUGGUACUGAGACACGGACCAGACUCCUACGGGAGGCAGCAGUAAGGAAUAUUGGACAAUGGAGGCAACUCUGAUCCAGCCAUGCCGCGUGAAGGAUUAAGGCCCUAUGGGUUGUAAACUUCUUUUAGACGGGACAAAACCCCUUUACGUGUAAAGGGUUGAUGGUACUGUCAGAAUAAGCAUCGGCUAACUUCGUGCCAGCAGCCGCGGUAAUACGAAGGAUGCAAGCGUUAUCCGGAAUUAUUGGGUUUAAAGGGUGCGUAGGCGGACUAAUAAGUCAGUGGUGAAAGCCUGCAGCUUAACUGCASAAUUGCCGUUGAUACUGUUAGUCUUGAGUACAGUUGAGGUAGGCGGAAUGUGUCAUGUAKCGGUGAAAUGCUUAGAUAUGACACAGAACACCGAUUGCGAAGGCAGCUUGCUAAGCUGUAACUGACGCUGAGGCACGAAAGCGUGGGGAGCAAACAGGAUUAGAUACCCUGAUAGUCCACGCCCUAAACGAUGAUAACUCGCUGUUGGCGAUAUACUGUCAGCAGCCAAGCGAAAGCAUUUAAGUUAUCCACCUGGGGGAGUACG